GUCCUUCCAAAGCAGGACUCAGGUGCUGGGGGAAGGCAGUCACUGCUCAAAGCCUCAGCAGGUUUAUAAUCUAUUUGUGCAUUAAGUUUGGUAUUCAUGUUUAAAGAUUAGUAAGGAUUGGCAAGUUAAAAAUCCUUAGAGCAGUGUUUUGCUAUAAAGAACAUGCCGGAACAUAUUCAAAAUAAGUUACUUGGUCACAAAGCACUGCUACACAGAUGCCAGUGGGCUUCUAUUCCAUGUUUCACCAAGCAGUUUUCCAACUCCAUUUUUAUAGGCAUCUCCACUGUGACCAGAAAUUUAAGAGUCGGUUUCUCUUUGAUUAACCUUCAUUAACUAUGAAAAGGAAAUUCCUGAAGGAAUAAGGCCUUGCUAAUAACUUAGACAACAGAUCUGCCUGCCUCUUUAGUCUUUUUUCUGAAACCCAGCCAGUGAAAAGCUUAAAUUAGUCACCACUGCACUGAGUUAAUGACUGCAGCGCUUCGAGGCAAAGAUUUCAUCCUUAAAAACCUUCCCUCCAGCCACGGCCACAGAACACUUGCAAGGCUUGGAUUAUGGAAAAGCCACAAUUAGCACAGUGAAAUGCAGAUUUGCUGGAGCAGAACACUGAGGAAUGAGGCAACCGGGGACUGAUGUGACAUCUAGCAUCUCACAUGAACCGAGGCUAACCAGCCACCCUGCCCGGGUGUGUCUGCAGCAAGAGCGGGCCCUAGCGCGGAUCAGCUCGGGGUGGCUUAGGAGAAAAGCUGCUGAAGGUCAUGUUUCUCCAGCGCCAGCACCGGGAACUGCAGCAGCCUCCGUGUCCCCGCAGAGCUGGAAGCUCCUCCUGCAGUGACACAAGAGAGGCCGGCGCAACAGGCUCCUGGGAAAUGUAGUCUGUCACCAAGGCUGCUCUGUGCCGGGAAACCGGCACUGCAGACAGUUUGCAAAAUGGAGAUCAACACCCUGUUUGUCACAGUUGAUGUAUGUGAGCUUGUUCUUCUGCACAUACAACCAACAUGUAACAUCCCAAGGUAUUUCAGAAUGAAUGUUUAAUGAAGAAACAUACACCUGGUUUUCACAGCUCUUAACCUCCUACUAUCAGGUGUAUUUCUGCUGUGCUACUUUUACUGUACUGCCUGUCUGCACAGGCACAAAGGUUCCUGUUUGUGCACCCAUUCCUGUAUAGGAAGAGAGUUAAACUGUAUUUGUAUCUGUAUCUGUUUAUUCCCACUGCCUCUUGCCCUUUAACUGGGCACCCUGAAAAGAGCCUGGCUCCCUCCUCUUUGCACCCUCCCUUCAGGUGUUCAUACACACUGAGAUGAUCCCCCUGAGCCUUCUCCAAACUGAACUGUUCAAUCUGCUUCAGCCUCUCCUCACAUGACAGAUGCUCCAGCCCCUUUUUGGCACUUCACUCUUGGCAGAGGAUCACCUCCCUCAGUCUACUGGCAGCUCUUGAGUGUGUUAUAAAUACAUAUUAUAAUAUUGGCUUUUCACAAAAUAUUGAAAUGUAUGUUAUAUAUAUAAUAUUAAAGUAAUUCUGCUAUAGUUUUUUAUUUCUAUUAACUAAACUUAGGCAUAGUAGUGGAAUAGCUGAUAGCUAUGCUUGAACUGCCUGCUUGGUUAACAUCCAACAUACAAAUGAUGAAGACCCCUGCUACUGACGUGUCAACUAUCAGCACUUACUGUCUGAUGAAAGUAUGGACCAAAACCCAAACUGGAGAUGAUAAUAAGAACAGACUAAAGCCACAGUCAAGGAGCAUGCAUGCUCUAAAAAGGUGGUCCUGAGGAGGAGUCAUGCUAGACAGUUCUUAGAGCAUGUAAACUAUUUGGAGAAAAGUUUAAAUAUGUGUAAUUGUUACUGAAUAUGCAACAGGCUGAUGCAAUAGUAAAGAUAUAUAAAGGGUGUCUCAGAAAUAGCAGAUGUGCUCUUGGCAGAAUGCCAAGCACCCAGACAUUAAACUUUGCUUUAUUUUUGUCUCCUCUUGUCUUUUAUGAAACCUUUAAAUUUUACCAGGAAGGUGAAGCAAAGUGCAAAGGUCCAUCUCUGACUCGUGUUCAACAUGGUGUCCACCAGGACCUCAGAUCUGCAAAGUUCCCGUCCACCCCCUCAGCCUGUACUGGUGCAGGGUGUUUCUCCCACCCAGGGGCAAAACUUGGCAUUUCCCUUUGCUGAACAUCAUGAAGUCCCUUCUUUUUUUUUUUUUUUUCUGUAGGAAAAGCUGGACCAGGGGAUCCUUGAGGUCCCUUCCAAGCCAUUAUUCUCUGGUUUUGGGAUAAGUCCCUGUCUGCUCCUUUUCCAGCCUGCUGAGGUACCCCUGAGUGGCAGCACACUCAUCUGGUCUGUCAGCCACUCCUCCUGGUUUUGUGUUCUCUUCAAAGCUGCUGAGGGUGUGUGGGGCUAGAUUCUGACAGCACUUCCUAGGGGUUUUUUAUACUUAAUGUAUUCUCUAAUAAUUUUGAUGUGCCACUUUCACACACGCAAAGAAACUAAUCUGACCUCUCUGAGACCUUGUCUUCUGAUAUGGCACUGAUAUAAUAAAGUCAAAAGUCAAGCAGGUUUUGACUUGUCAGUUCAGCCUCAGAAGUGUUUCUCUGCUCCUCAGACACUGGACACACAUCUAGCCUUUAAUGAGGUAUCUCAGACAGGUGAGAGAUACCUUUCUUAAGGCUUCUGCUUCAGCUGAUGCCUGCAGAAGUUUCUUGUCAUCUAUCUGACUUGCUGAAAGCUAAAUGUCUGCAAAUCACAGGCUGUUUUGUGAUCUCAAUACUGAAAAAAAAACCUGUAUUUUUUUUUUAAAUUGAAGAAGUCUCUGCACCGCUUUGCCACUGUCCCUGGCCGUGUCCCUGGCUGCCCGGGCGGCCUGCCAGCAACCGGUGCAAAGUCCAAGGAUUUGCCACAGCAACAUCUACGGUUUGCAAGCGGCAGAGUUGGUCCUCAUGCCAGAACA